CACGAGUUGAGACUCGUAGCAGAUAGCUCAGUAACACGUGGCCAAACUGCCCUAUAGACGGCGAUAACCUCGGGAAACUGAGGCUAAUAGCCGAUACCGUUCACGACCUGGAGUGGUGUGAACGCGAAACGUUCAGGCGCUAUAGGAUGUGGCUGCGGCCGAUUAGGUAGACGGUGGGGUAACGGCCCACCGUGCCCAUAAUCGGUACGGGUUGUGAGAGCAAGAGCCCGGAGACGGUAUCUGAGACAAGAUACCGGGCCCUACGGGGCGCAGCAGGCGCGAAACCUUUACACUGCACGCGAGUGCGAUAAGGGGACUCCGAGUGCGAGGGCAUAUAGUCCUCGCUUUUCACCACCGUAAGGUGGUGGUGGAAUAAGUGCUGGGCAAGACCGGUGCCAGCCGCCGCGGUAAUACCGGCAGCACGAGUGAUGACCGCUAUUAUUGGGCCUAAAGCGUCCGUAGCUGGCCACGCAAGUCUAUCGGGAAAUCUGCGCGCUUAACGCGCAGGCGUCCGGUGGAAACUGUGUGGCUUGGGACCGGAAGACCAGAGGGGUACGUCCGGGGUAGGAGUGAAAUCCCGUAAUCCUGGACGGACCACCGGUGGCGAAAGCGCCUCUGGAAGACGGAUCCGACGGUGAGGGACGAAAGCUCGGGUCACGAACCGGAUUAGAUACCCGGGUAGUCCGAGCUGUAAACGAUGUCUGCUAGGUGUGGCACAGGCUACGAGCCUGUGCUGUGCCGUA
rnacentral:rRNA from 1 species